rnacentral:sRNA from 5 species
UGACCCUUAUUAAGCCGAGGGUCACCUAGCCAACUGACGUUGUUAGUGAAUACACAUUGUUCACAAGUAUAUACCGCCAAUCACCUUUCUUGUGAUUGGCGUUUUUUCU